UCCAUGGAUACGAUUUCCUUUAAUCUUCACAGCACCUCUUCCAAGACUAUAGAGUCAUUAUGGAUGAAGAAACCAGAGCUCAAAGAGGAUGCCACAGCUGACCAGCCAUGAAGCACCAUGCUGGGAGCCUUCAAAACACAGGUGGACAUACUGCAGAUUUGGCUGGUGGCCCCGAUGCUCAGGAGGCUGGGGUCUGGAGUCCUCCUCCAUGCAGAAAGAAACUAGAAAUAACCAACCCAGAAGAAAUGAGCCUCAUUAGAGGCCAGAUUCUGGUUUCUAAAUAUAUUUCUCACUAAAGGGAAUGAGGCCCCUUAGAGAAAUGACUGAUUCCAGGUCUGGGGCAGCAGAUGUGCAUCUGGACCUUCUGCAAGCCAUUUGUCACACUGGGGAAAAAAACAAGAGCCCCUGACCAACAGGACUCAGCAUCUGCCCCUGGCCUUCCGGAACCCCAGAGGAGAUACUCACAGCUCUCAGUGGCCAGUGACUAAAGAUCCAGUGGAAUUUCAGAAGGACAAAAAAAUAAUAUUCCAAGAUGACGUUCAUGUGAAGAGACAAUUAUAUCAAGACAAAACUGCAGGGGAAAAGUUACGGAAGUGUUUCAGGAAACUACUUAGUAAAAAGGAGUAUGUUACUUUCUGGAUUUUUUGCUGUUUGUGAUAUUUGUCAGCUUUUAAAAAAUAUGCGAUGUGUUAUGACUGUUUCCCAUUAUACUCUUCUAAGUUUUCUAAUGAUUUCAAACAUAGAAAAGUUUAA